rnacentral:rRNA from 1 species
CAGUAGCCACGGUAAUACGAAGGGUGCAAGCGUUAAUCUGAAUUACUGGGCGUAAAGCGUGCGUAGGCGGUGAGUUAAGUCCGCUGUGAAAUCCCCGGGCUCAACCUGGGAAUGGCAGUGGAUACUGGCUCGCUAGAGUGUGUCAGAGGAUGGUGGAAUUCCCGGUGUAGCGGUGAAAUGCGUAGAGAUCGGGAGGAACAUCAGUGGCGAAGGCGGCCCCCUGGACAAAGACUGACGCUCAGGUGCGAAAGCGUGGGGAGCAAACAGGAUUAGAUACCCGUGUAGUCCCUGUCUCUUAUAC